GUUUAAAUAGUUUAAUAUAAAAUUUAGGUUUGUGAUUCCUAGGAUACAUUUAAUAUGUUUUAGACA
rnacentral:tRNA from 1 species